rnacentral:rRNA from 1 species
AAUUUUCGACAAUGGGGGCAACCCUGAUCCAGCCAUCCCGCGUGUGCGAUGAAGGCCUUCGGGUGGUAAAGCACCUUUGGCAGGGACGAAAAGGCCCUGGCUAAUACCUGGAGCUGCUGACGGUACCUGCAGAAUACGCACUGGCUAACUACGUGCCAGCAGCCGCGGUACUACGUAGAGUGCAAGUGUUAAUCGGAAUUACUGGGCGUAAAGCGUGCGCAGGCGGUUCGGCAAGAAGGAUGUGAAAUCCCAGGGCUUAACCUUGGAACUGCAUUCUUACCUGCCGGGCUAGAGUAUGUCAGAGGGGGGUAGAAUUCCGCGUGUAGCAGUGAAAUGCGUAGAGAUGCGGAGGAAUACCGAUGGCGAAGGCAGCCCCCUGGGAUAAUACUGACGCUCAUGCACGAAAGCGUGAGGAGCAAAC